UCGCAGUGGGGUUUAGUCUGUAAAGAGAC
rnacentral:sRNA from 1 species